rnacentral:rRNA from 1 species
AUUGAACGCUGGCGGCAUGCCUUACACAUGCAAGUCGAACGGUAACAGGUCUUCGGAUGCUGACGAGUGGCGAACGGGUGAGUAAUACAUCGGAACGUGCCCGAUCGUGGGGGAUAACGAAGCGAAAGCUUUGCUAAUACCGCAUACGAUCUACGGAUGAAAGCAAGGGACCGCAAGGCCUUGCGCGAACGGUGCGGCCGAUGGCAGAUUAGGUAGUUGGUGGGAUAAAAGCUUACCAAGCCGACGAUCUGUAGCUGGUCUGAGAGGACGACCAGCCACACUGGGACUGAGACACGGCCCAGACUCCUACGGGAGGCAGCAGUGGGGAAUUUUGGACAAUGGGCGAAAGCCUGAUCCAGCCAUGCCGCGUGCAGGAUGAAGGCCUUCGGGUUGUAAACUGCUUUUGUACGGAACGAAAAGACUCUGGUUAAUACCUGGGGUCCAUGACGGUACCGUAAGAAUAAGCACCGGCUAACUACGUGCCAGCCGCCGCAGUAACAC